AUUGAACGCUGGCGGCAUGCUUUACACAUGCAAGUCGAACGGCAGCGCGGGCUUCGGCCUGGCGGCGAGUGGCGAACGGGUGAGUAAUGCAUCGGAACGUGCCCAGCAGUGGGGAUAGACCGGCGAAAGCCGGAUUAAUACCGCACACGACCUGAGGGUGAAAGCGGGGGAGCGAAAGGCCUCGCGCUAUUGGUGCGGCCGAUGUCGGAUUAGCUAGUUGGUGGGGUAAAGGCUUACCAAGGCGACGAUCCGUAGCUGGUCUGAGAGGACGACCAGCCACACUGGAACUGAGCCACGGCCCAGACUCCUACGGGAGGCAGCAGUGGGGAAUUGUGGACAAUGGGGGCAACCCUGAUCCAGCCAUGCCGCGUGCGGGAAGGAGGCCUUCGGGUUGUAAACCGCUUUUGUUCGUGAAGAAAUCCUCUGGGCUAAUACCCCGGGGGGAUGACGGUACCGGAAGAAUAAGCACCGGCUAACUACGUG
rnacentral:rRNA from 1 species